AUUGAACGCUGGCGGCAUGCCUUACACAUGCAAGUCGAACGGCAGCACGGGGCAACCUGGUGGCGAGUGGCGAACGGGUGAGUAAUGCAUCGGAACGUACCUUUCAGUGGGGGAUAACGUAGCGAAAGGUACGCUAAUACCGCAUAUUCUGUGAGCAGGAAAGCAGGGGAUCGCAAGACCUUGCGCUGAUUGAGCGGCCGAUGUCAGAUUAGCUAGUUGGUGAGGUAAAGGCUAACCAAGGCGACGAUCUGUAGCGGGUCUGAAAGGAUGAUCCGCCACACUGGAACUGAGACACGGUCCAGACUCCUACGGGAGGCAGCAGUGGGGAAUUUUGGACAAUGGGGGCAACCCUGAUCCAGCCAUGCCGCGUGAGUGAAGAAGGCCUUCGGGUUGUAAAGCUCUUUCGGCCGGGAAGAAAUCGCACGGGCUAAUACCCUGUGUGGAUGACGGUACCGGAAUAAGAAGCACCGGCUAACUACGUGCCAGCCGCCGCCGUAACAC
rnacentral:rRNA from 1 species